AGAGUUUGAUCAUGGCUCAGAGCGAACGCUGGCGGCAGGCCUAACACAUGCAAGUCGAACGGACCUUUCGGGGUUAGUGGCGGACGGGUGAGUAACACGUGGGAACGUGCCUUUUGGUUCGGAAUAGCUCCUGGAAACGGGUGGUAAUGCCGAAUGUGCCCUUUGGGGGAAAGAUUUAUCGCCAUUAGAGCGGCCCGCGUCUGAUUAGCUAGUUGGUGAGGUAAAGGCUCACCAAGGCUACGAUCAGUAGCUGGUCUGAGAGGAUGACCAGCCACAUUGGGACUGAGACACGGCCCAAACUCCUACGGGAGGCAGCAGUGGGGAAUCUUGCGCAAUGGGCGAAAGCCUGACGCAGCCAUGCCGCGUGUAUGAUGAAGGUCUUAGGAUUGUAAAAUACUUUCACCGGUGAAGAUAAUGACUGUAGCCGGAGAAGAAGCCCCGGCUAACUUCGUGCCAGCAGCCGCGGUAAUACGAAGGGGGCUAGCGUUGCUCGGAAUUACUGGGCGUAAAGGGAGCGUAGGCGGACAUUUAAGUCAGGGGUGAAAUCCCAGAGCUCAACUCUGGAACUGCCUUUGAUACUGGGUGUCUUGAGUGUGAGAGAGGUAUGUGGAACUCCGAGUGUAGAGGUGAAAUUCGUAGAUAUUCGGAAGAACACCAGUGGCGAAGGCGACAUACUGGCUCAUUACUGACGCUGAGGCUCGAAAGCGCGGGGAGCAAACAGGAUUAGAUACCCUAGUAGUCC
rnacentral:rRNA from 1 species